GCGCCAUCGUCGAUAAUAAAUAAACCUAGCACUCCACCGCUGCUCGCACUCCACAGCCGCCCCACCGGUCCACCGCGUCGCACAGUCGCCGUCCACCGCGUCGCACAGCCGCCGUCCACCGCGUCGCACAGCUGCUCGCCAGUGCGCCGCACAGCCGCAAAAACAAGAGAUACGAAUUCGGUUCCGAUGGAGCUUACGAUCGAGAUGCGGUUGAAAGAUCUGGAGUCUUGAUGCCGAUUGUGAGAAUCUUAGAGAAUGAGUGGGUGAGUUUGGCUGGAAUUUAGAGAAGCGUCUCAUUAAUUGAGCGAUUUGGGCGAAAUAGGCUGUCAUUGGAGCGAAUUAGAGCGGGGAUUCGAACAAGUCUUCGUAUUUACGGUGAGGCGUAGGUUGGAUCGGUGAAUGCAGGAACGAUUCCCAUAGGAUUCUACACACUCCGCUCUGUGAAACUCAAACUUGGUUUGGUGCUCCCACUAGAAGAUGGUCCUUUGAGUUCUGUAUGGAGAAACGAAUGAAUUUAUGUCAGUACCAUAGAUACUAAUGGAAGUCUGAAAGUAGACUGGCUAAAGUGAAAAAGGUUGAAGAAACAAGUGAACAUCUUUUAUCAGCCCUCAAGGCAGAGUAGGAAGAACUAGAGUCAUCCCUCAACAAAGAAAAAUUGCAAACACUUCAGUUGAAGCAAGAGUUAGCAGAUGCGGAGACUCGCAACACUGACCUAUACAAGGUAACUACUGCUGGCCUGCCACAAUUUGAACUGAAUAUGGUUCCUCAUUCUAUUAUCUCCCACAAUUCCCAUUCUUGACUAAAGUAUGCCAGAAUGAACCAGCAGGCUCUAAACUUUUGUAAAAGUGCAGAUUGGGUGUUUAUUAUUGCCUCCCAUAUCAGCAGGAGCUAGAUUUUUUGUUAUCCAAGAAAUUUUCAAUAUAUUACUGCAGAGUAAAUUUCAAUUUUGGUCCUGUGACUAUAGGCGUCUUGUUAAUUGCAGUCCACGACUUUCAAAAGUUUUAAUUUAAUAACUUGACUAUGUAAUUUUUAUCAAUUUUGGUCACUCCUGCCAAAUUUCCGGUCAAAUUUUGCCGGAAAAACAUAAUUCAUCAAUUAGUGUUUAAUCUGAGGGGCAAAUUCGUCUUUUGAUCUGUGGUCCGAAUUAAGCAAAGCCAGUUUUUAACCCGAUUUUUCCGUCAAAAUUUGGCCAAAAUGACUAAAAUUGAUAAAAAUUGCAUAAUCAAGGUACUAAAUUAACACUUUUGAAAGUCAUGGACUGCAAUUAACAUGACCCCUAUAGUCACAUGACCAAAAUUGAAAUUUACUCUAUUACUGCAAGCAUUAGUUCUCUUCUGUACUUCCAAUGGAAAUAGUUGAACCUAGGAUAUAUUAGAAGAACUUGUUCCUUGUUACUUAUUUUACUAUUUCUUUUUCUAAAUCCAUUAGUUUUACAUUUUAAUAUUUAUAUUUACUUUUCUCAUGAGCUGUGUAUUAUGUUAUAUGACAUUCUAAUGCUACCAUUAUCUUUAUUAUAUAUGAAACUUCGAUAAAUUUAUCAUGCAGUUAAA